rnacentral:rRNA from 1 species
UACGUAGGGUGCGAGCGUUAAUCGGAAUUACUGGGCGUAAAGCGUGCGCAGGCGGUUUUGUAAGCCAGAUGUGAAAGCCCCGGGCUCAACCUGGGAAUGGCAUUUGGGACUGCAAGGCUUGAGUGCGGCAGAGGAGACUGGAAUUCCUGGUGUAGCAGUGAAAUGCGUAGAUAUCAGGAGGAAUACCGAUGGCGAAGGCAGGUCUCUGGGCUGACACUGACGCUCAUGCACGAAAGCGUGGGUAGCAAACAGG